GCAGCCGUUAAAAACUCCGGCGUCAUCCGGUCGCGUUCCCUGAAAGUUCUCAUCGUUACUACCGGACUCCUGCACGUUUAUAAGCGCGAGAGCAAACAUGAUGGAGCACCUAAACGAUACCUCAUCACCGACGAAACAGUUUUGACGGUUUUCAACUGUUGUCCUGAGAGUAAAAACCGUCACAAGCUCCUCAUCCAUGGCCCUAACAACUAUAAACUUGACAUUAUCUUUGAUAACGCUUACAACCAAGGGAGGCUGAUUGAGGCCUUGCUGGGAGAAGGAGCUAGAAUAAACGACCCAAAUUCAAAUUUAAUUUACGCUGAAUAUCUCUCGACCAAAGGUGCAACUGGCGGUGAUGACCAAUUGAAUUUGGGAAAGUUAACUAAACCUGCUAAAUCAA
rnacentral:lncRNA from 1 species